UUGACUUAAGAAUCACUCACUUUGACUAUGUCACUAUUCAGGAUAUAAAUCAUGGGACACCAUUUUCUCAGAAGAAUCAGAAUUUCAGGUGACCCAAAGGACAAAGGAGAGACACACAGUAGGUGAAUGAUUAUUAGAGACAGAAUAGACCAGGCUAUGACCAGGUAAGAAUAAAGGUUUGGCAGAAUCCCCAGAAGUACAGUGACAGAAGUCUAUGAUGCCAUCAUGCUCCAAAGACCUCACCUACCAAUCUAUUUUGGUGAUUUGAUUACCUACUCAUGGAGUAAAACUUCAGAAAGCCUUGUGUCUAGUGUCUACUGCAGUGCUCCUGUGGCAAAUCUGUCUGCAUUUUAGCUGUGAACUAGUAUUCCUCCUAUGUGGAUUAACAUUUAUAACUGUCAAGAAAGACACCUACACAUCUACAAGUUCAUUAUGGAAACCAGGCUUAAACAGUGAUUAAAAAUCUUAAUAAUGGAGAUUAAACUAAAAAGUUUGUCACACCUUUCGAAGAGCAGAAUGUUAAACAAUUACCCGUACAUCUCUGGUUGUAAAUAAUUGUGCCAGGCCUUCUGUGGACAUUACCUGCAGGCAGUACCAAAUUUAAAUGAUGGGUUAAAGUCUACUCUGAAUUUGCAGAAUUAAAUAAACCAAAUGAUGUGUCAUAAAA